CUGUCCGUGGCUGUGUUUCUUCUCUUUUUAGAGGUUUGUUUCUUUUUAUGCUGAUAUUUGUUUCUUUGAUAGUUAAAUUGGUGACAAAGAAGACAGCAGCUGGAGGCUUUGAUGUACAAGCAGACGUAUGCAAUUAGACCUUGAUGUAUUGAGAUUGGUUUUAAAUAAAGACGUAUGCAAUUAGUUAUUGCAUCUGUUUCAAAUUUCGUUCAAACGGCUAUUUUCUUUUACUUUCGUUCCUUAAUGUGAAUUGUUAACAUUGUAGGUUUUCAAGGGGGGUUCAACUUCCCAAAGUGCAGGAGGCUUGCAGAGGAAUUGGGGAGCUGCUUUCAACAAAACCGAUUACAUUAAAAUAAUUGUUUAUUCUAUGGUUUCAUUACACCACUUAAGUGAUAUAUCUGUUUGGAUGCUUAGUCUGGCUUUAGUUUGUUUGUUAGUUUUUUUUUUUUUUUUUUUUUUUUUGGUUUCAUGGUUUUAUUCCUUCUGAAUACAGAAUCAUAUGUUUGGGUUUGGG
rnacentral:lncRNA from 1 species